rnacentral:rRNA from 1 species
UUUGACGUUCUGGGUUGGACUAAAUCCUUUGGGAUAAGGUAUCAUAGAGGGUGAGAAUCCCGUGUAUACCAACCACAGGGAUGUUAUUUAAUAACGUUUCUAAGAGUCGAGUUGUUUGGGAAUGCAGCUCUAAAUGGGUGGUAAAUUUCACCUAAUGCUAAAUAUAAGCGAGAGACCGAUAGCGAACAAGUACAGUGAUGGAAAGAUGAAAAGAACUUUGAAAAGAGAGUUAAAUAGUACGUGAAAUUGUUGAAAGGGAAACGAUUGAAGUCAGUCAUGCCGACGGGAAUCAACUUAGAGGAAACUCUGGGUGCACUUCUUCGUUUGGCAGGUUAGUGUCGAUUUUGGAUGUCAUAAAAUAAUUGGGGGAAGGUAGCUCUUUCGGGAGUGUUAUAGCCCUUGGUAGAUGUGAUGUCUGGGAUCGAGGAUUGCAACGGAUACCCUUCGGGGCUAACCGCCUGAUCUCUAA